AUGGGUACUCAAGAAACUAAGAAGGUGGAGAUGGAGGGGAGGAUGUGCGCGAAUAUGUGGGGUGAUGAAAAUUGUGGGUAUAGCUAUAAGGCAGUGAUGGGAAGAUCUGAAGGAUUAUUGAUCAUGUGGAACUCAAAAAAUUUUAAGAAACAAGUAGAGUUCAGUGGAAAUUAUUUUGUAGGAUUGAAAGGUAGUUAG